rnacentral:rRNA from 1 species
UACGGGGGGGGCAAGCGUUGUUCGGAAUUACUGGGCGUAAAGGGCUCGUAGGUGGCCAACUAAGUCGAACGUGAAAUCCCCGGGCUCAACCCGGGAACUGCGUCCGAUACUGGCAGGCUUGAAUUCGGGAGAGGGAUGUGGAAUUCCAGGUGUAGCGGUGAAAUGCGUAGAUAUCUGGAGGAACACCGGUGGCGAAGGCGGCAUCCUGGACCGAUAUUGACGCUGAUGCGCGAAAGCCAGGGGAGCAAACGGG